rnacentral:rRNA from 1 species
GAUGAACGCUAGCUACAGGCUUAACACAUGCAAGUCGAGGGGCAGCGGUAUCGAAAGCUUGCUUUCGGUAGCCGGCGACCGGCGCACGGGUGAGUAACGCGUAUCGAACCUGCCUCAUACUCGGGAAUAGCCUUGCGAAAGUAAGAUUAAUGCCCGGUGUUUUCAGAGUCCCGCAUGAGGCUUUGAACAAAGAUUUAUCGGUAUGAGAUGGCGAUGCGUCCCAUUAGCUUGUUGUCGGGGUAACGGCCCACCAAGGCAUCGAUGGGUAGGGGUUCUGAGAGGAAGGUCCCCCACAUUGGAACUGAGACACGGUCCAAACUCCUACGGGAGGCAGCAGUGAGGAAUAUUGGUCAAUGGGCGGAAGCCUGAACCGGCCAAGUAGCGUGCAGGAAGACGGCCCUCCGGGCUGUAAACUGCUUUUAGUUGGGAAUAAAACGGGGCUCGUGAGCCCCCUUGCAUGUACCAUCAGAAAAAGGACCGGCUAAUUCCGUGCCAGCCGCCGCCGUAA